rnacentral:lncRNA from 1 species
GCAGCAAUUUUUAGAAAAGCAUUGCGGGAAUGUGCAUGAUUCUUGAACAGCUAAUGAGGGGAGAGAAGGAGGCAUGUCCUCCGCCUCCAGAAGGAACGUUUGCAAAGAAGGAAUUCAUUCACUCCACUCUUGAUGACUUAUAGCUCUUCUCCAUCUGGCUUCUCCAUGGAAGAAAUCACAGACUCUGCCUUUCCUCUCUCUCUGCUUAGAUCGGAAUGCCUUUAGUUCUCACUCAGCACACAGCAUUGCUCCACAUCUCCCUGCUUUCAGUCCACACUCAGCAUCAAUCCUGCCCCCUCCUGACACUUGCACCAGAAAUUUGACAUUUUUAUGCAACUCUAGAAAAAGCAGUGCAGUUGGAAGCAUUAUGGGGAAGCAGCAAAAGAGUGCUGAUGGCAGAAGAGUCUCCCCAGAACACCAAGGAAAGGCCCUGUUGAUAACCCUUACUGAAGAAAAGGGGCAGGAGGAAGGCCAGGAGCAGGAGGAACAAGAGGAGCAGUUGCAAUGGCAGUGAUGCCCAGCAUACUCGAUGUAAGAAAGAGC